AACGCUGGCGGCGUGCUUAACACAUGCAAGUCGUGCGCGAAAGUCGACUUCGGUUGACGAGUAGAGCGGCGAACGGGUGAGUAACACGUGGGUAACCUGCCUGGGAGCGGGGGAUAACCUGGGGAAACUCGGGCUAAUACCGCAUACGCUCUAGGUGCUUCGGCACCGUGAGGAAAGCUGGCCUCUACUUGUAAGCUAGCACUCCCAGAGGGACCCGCGCCCGAUUAGCUUGUUGGUGGGGUAACGGCCCACCAAGGCAACGAUCGGUAGCCGGCCUGAGAGGGCGAUCGGCCACACUGGGACUGAGACACGGCCCAGACUCCUACGGGAGGCAGCAGUGGGGAAUAUUGGACAAUGGGCGCAAGCCUGAUCCAGCAACGCCGCGUGGAGGACGAAGGCCUUCGGGUCGUAAACUCCUGUCAGUUGGGACGAAAAGCUGUCGUCGAAUAGAUGGCAGUCAUGACGGUACCAGCAGA
rnacentral:rRNA from 1 species